AGGACUCUGUUGCUAGACUGGCUGGUUUUAAGUAUGGCGGUACUGUGUAUUAGUCUCCUGGCUUUGGACAGUAUACUAGACAUCUUUGUGGUUCUCUGGACUCAUCUCUAAAAUGGAGAGAAUUAUGACAAUAGCAAAACGUUCAACCUCCGUAAGAUGACGACUCAAAUUAUGGAAACGUUUGCCGAUGUUGAUGGCUAUUUGCAAAGGCGACAAAAUCAUCUGUAUUUGAAGAAGAAUGUAUUUACCUUCCCAGUCCCAGAACUAAUCAUGUCAAUUUGUGGCUCAAACUACCAUGGUUCGUGUAUAGUACAGGCCUCCUUCUUGGCCCUGAGAUACAAGUCCAUAAUGUGAGCCAGAAACAGCUUGAUGAUGUCAAAGGAUGAAAAAACCCAGUUAUCCUCUGAGCAGUUGAUUCCACCCCAAACAUGGAGACCCUGAGGAGGCUGUUUCGUUGCUGCUGAAGUGAGAUAUGGAAAGAAAGAUGAUCGCUGUGUAGGGGCAUCUAAUCUAUCUUGAGCAGGCUCUUCGCCUUGGAUGCCCACUAUCCCCUAUCCCUGAAACAAGAAGCCAUCUGAAGCUCCUCAACCCAGUCAGUCUGCCAUGGAGGGGCUUUGGCUGCAUGCAUGGGUGCAGGCACUUGCGGGCCGUCUCCAGUUCCUCUUUGUUUUACAUACUGUGGAUGUGUUUGUUGGCCUGACACCAGCUUUACCACUUAACCUUUCCUUGCCCCACAGCUGAGGCCAUUUUUGCAAGGAACACGCAUCUCGGUGUCUGCAGAAUCUUGGAUCCUUUUGGGAAAGCCGUGCUCUGGGCCAGCAGAGAAGGAGAGGGAGCUAUGUACACACAGCUGAAGAUGACUUUAGCACAGAGUUUAUUUAAUAUAUCCUCCAAAUUGUAUUUUGAAGCAUCUGUUAAUAAGAAAGCACUCUCUUUUUGAGCAGGGCGAGUGUUUUAUAAAUGGAAUUUGCAGACCAGCAACACUCCCAUUAAUUUUCCCUGUCUACAAUUACUAUCAUUACAUUCUUAAAGCACUUUUAAAAUAAACUACCCCAUGAUGUCAUGUGCACAUUCUGAACUCCAGAGAGAGGGACAGCAGGGUAGCAGCAUCUGGACCUUGGACUGCUAUCUUUUAGGGAACAUCUUGAUGGCUGUAAUUACUGUCAUGUUAUGGGAACUUUAGAAAAAAAGGCGCCAGAGUUCCAAAUAAAACAUAAAAUGGCUUUGAUAUAAUAAAUGUUACUAUCAUUGUUUAAAAA